AUGAUACUACAAUCUUGUAUCGGACUGUACAAUUUCUUGAGAUCUGACCAAAAAAAAUCCAGAUUUUCAGUAGCUAAGCUACGUGCAAAGAGCAAAUUGAUGGGUGGGUCCCAUCGAUGCAUCUUGGCCAUGGCAAUGGCCAACAAUGGAGCUCAAGAACGCUCUCUCGACCUCCUCGGACGCAUCUCUCCUAACCAGGCACAAGACAUAGUCCAUAACCGCGGCAUUGCAGGGCAGCGUGAUCCUGCCACCCUCGCUGCUCGCGAAGCCAAACUCCUCCCCAGCCAUCCUCAAGAGUUCGGCGAAGACUGUUGUGUUGAGGUACGCCAGCGGGACCUCGAACCGCGCCCCAUCGGCUGUGUACACCACGCAAUGGCCCUUGUCAGCGACUGUGCUGCAGCACUCGUCAGCUUGCUGGCCACCGGCCCUGGCUGCGACCUUCUUCUGCCACUUUUUGGCCAGCUGAGCAAGCUUCUUUGGAUGGAUCAUGUUUGA
rnacentral:rRNA from 1 species